rnacentral:rRNA from 1 species
UACAGAGGUCUCAAGCGUUGUUCGGAUUCAUUGGGCGUAAAGGGUGCGUAGGCGGCGCGGUAAGUCGGGUGUGAAAUCUCGGAGCUUAACUCCGAAACUGCAUUCGAUACUGCCGUGCUUGAGGACUGGAGAGGAGACUGGAAUUUACGGUGUAGCGGUGAAAUGCGUAGAUAUCGUAAGGAAGACCAGUUGCGAAGGCGGAUCUCUGGGCAGUUCCUGACACUGAGGCACGAAGGCCAGGGGAGCAAACGGG